rnacentral:rRNA from 1 species
GACGAACGCUGGCGGCGUGCCUAAUACAUGCAAGUCGAACGCUUCUUUCCUCCCGAGUGCUUGCACUCAAUUGGAAAGAGGAGUGGCGGACGGGUGAGUAACACGUGGGUAACCUACCCAUCAGAGGGGGAUGACACUUGGAAACAGGUGCUAAUACCGCAUAACAGUUUAUGCCGCAUGGCAUAAGAGUGAAAGGCGCUUUCGGGUGUCGCUGAUGGAUGGACCCGCGGUGCAUUAGCUAGUUGGUGAGGUAACGGCUCACCAAGGCCACGAUGCAUAGCCGACCUGAGAGGGUGAUCGGCCACACUGGGACUGAGACACGGCCCAGACUCCUACGGGAGGCAGCAGUAGGGAAUCUUCGGCAAUGGACGAAAGUCUGACCGAGCAACGCCGCGUGAGUGAAGAAGGUCUUCGGAUCGUAAAACUCUGUUGUUAGAGAAGAACAAGGACGUUAGUAACUGAACGUCCCCUGACGGUAUCUAACCAGAAAGCCACGGCUAACUACGUG